CAGUCGCCGCGGGAAUACGGAGGGAGCUAGCGUUGUUCGGAAUCACUGGGCGUAAAGCGCGCGUAGGCGGUUACUCAAGUCAGAGGUGAAAGCCCGGGGCUCAACCCCGGAACUGCCUUUGAAACUAGGUAACUAGAAUCUUGGAGAGGUCAGUGGAAUUCCGAGUGUAGAGGUGAAAUUCGUAGAUAUUCGGAAGAGCACCAGUGGCGAAGGCGGCUCACUGGACUGGUAUUGACGCUGAGGUGCGAAAGCGUGGGGAGCAAACAGGAUUAGAUACCCGCGUAGUCCCUGUCUCUUAUAC
rnacentral:rRNA from 1 species